UCCACAAUGGGUUCACGUUCUCGCAGUCCGUCGCUGAAACGUCGUCACCACAAGAGCAAGCAUAAAAAACGCAGCAAGAGUAAGUCACACAACCGAGACAGGGAGCGUGAAAGAGAGAGAGAACGGGAAAGGGACCACGAACGUAGCAGUUGCACACGAAGCAGCCGAACGGAUAGAGACAAAUCCACAGAAAUGAACCAACAUGGUCGGCGAGAUCGUGACAGGCAUCGCAGCGACAGGCACACGCACUCGCACACACACAUACACUCGCACACAGAGCGCGACUAUCAUCGGCACUCGCACUCCAAGUCCCGCAAGCGAUCCAGCUCAUCCAGCAGUGAUAGUCAGCAGUACUCCGAUCAUGAGACUCAGCGGAGUCGGCACAAGCGCAGUCGCUUUAAGAAACUAGAUGAGCAAAACUUACUACAGGUGGAGCGAUUGGCCGAAAUGGAACGGCAACGUCGCCAAAAGGAGGCUGAGCAAAAAACCAUUGAAGAGCAGGCGGCCAAACGAAUCGAGAUGCUAGUGAAAAAGCGUGUUGAGGAAGAGCUCGAGAAGCGUCGCGACGAAAUCGAGCAAGAGGUGAAUCGUCGCAUCGACACUGCCAAAGCUGAAAUGGAGCGUGAUAUGAUGCUGGAGCUGGAAAAGCGACGCGAGCAAAUACGAGAAGAUGAACGCCGUCGCGAGGUAGGUGCUCGUAUUCAGAUUUCGCUGGACGACUGCUGCUACCACAAUACACAAACUGCCACUACAACUACCACAAACAAUCUUCGACUCCUACCGAAAAACACACACACGAACAAAACCAAAACCAAAAACCACCAACAAAAAGCAGUUGCAAACAGUCGUCUUUUAAAAGCAAAUGUUACUCGAAAUUGUGUAGCGACGUUUCCAAUUUCACCGCCAAAAACAUCAGCAGUAAAAGCGGCUCAGUGUGCCAAUGUCUAUGUAUGGGUGUGUGUGUGCGUCUGAGUGUGUAUUAACCUUACUAACCAUCAUUUAAAUACUUCAUAACAAACGCAGUUAUGUUCUUGAAUUACAUUAGAUCAGUACUAUAUUGUAUCUUAUCGUAAUUGAAGAACCAAAUUUGGAUCUUCACGUCAAUUGAAAAACUCUUAGAGUCGUACUAUUGUGACAUUUUGUUAUUUUUGAUAUUCAUAUAUUCAAUUCGUGCAGUCAAGAACAUGGCUGAAUUUCCUGCUCUUUUCUUAUAUUGUAAUUUUUAACCCUCUAGAUUUUAAGCUCAUCUUGAGGCUUGCGCAACAACAACAACACCACACACACGCACACACAUUUCUAUUAAACAAACCCACUGAGCCCUUUGGGCACGUCGCUGCACAUUUCGUCUCUAUUCUUGUCAAAUAAUUUUGUAAUUAUUAUUUAUUUUUUCUACCAACCAACAAAAAACAAAAAAAAAAAAAAAACAAAAUGUGUCUUGCAGCGCAUAAAUCUAUUUGCAUUACUUUUAGCUUCAUCUUUUGUUUGUUCGAUAUACAUUAUAUAUAAUUUUGAUUGGUUUCUGUAAUUCGUUGUUGUUGUUGUUACAUAAUAUUGCGCGAUAUAUUGCUUCUAUCGAAUGAUGAGAGUAUGUGUGGGUGCGAGAGUGUGCGCAAGGUAACACGUAAACACUUAACACACAAUCAGAAUGUACUAUAAACUCCUAAGUGUGCAUAUAUCCGAACAUACUUGAUUGAUAACAAUGGCAUAUGUACGUAUGGCCAUCCCAACCCUACGACCCCACUACAUCCGUACCUAAGCCGGACCCACAAUGCGCGAGCCCUGCUUUGAUGAGAAUUCGGCCACAUGGAUGAGCAGCAGAACAUACAAGAUGUUCCACACAUACACAUCCCAAAUAUCGUACAGUUUGAGGCGUGGUCCCAAAAUAUACACCUAUGUAAUAUAUAGUUAUUAAAUUAGCUAGCCAGUACAGUUGGUAUAGUAUUUGUAGGCGGGCGGCGUCAGAAUUUCUUAGAAUAGUUUAGUUUCAACUGUACGCAACCUUAAAAGCGGCAUAUCGAUUAAAACGGGUGAGUGAGUUUCUUAAGUAAAACGAACAAAACCAAUGUGUGCAAUAUUCGAAAUGGAUAAAAACAAAACAAACUACAACAAAUAUGUGGAAAGUGUAAUUAAAAACCCUGAAACAAUUUUAAAGCAAAGACUGCAAAGUCCAACAAACGAUCCUCUCUCUAGGAACAUUCGUCAUAGGAGCAUCAAUGCUGAUCAGACUUAAGAUUGUUAUCCUAACUCAUAAGCUGGAUUACCAUUUGUCAAUCAAUGGGUAUGACUGUACUUAUUGUUGUUGUCGUGCCUAUCAUGUACUUUUAUGUUUGUUGAUCUCAACACACGCAUUUUUCGUUUCUUGGGACGAAUUUUAUUUUCGUUUGUAAUGUAAAUCAUUUGAUUAUAACAACUAUAACUGUAGCUGAAAUACCGUAAAUCAAAAUGCAAAUUCGCAGCAAAGCCAAAAAUUUACAAAAAUGAUUUAGCCAUUAAACUGGAAAAAUGAACUAUUUCAAUAGUAAGUAGCAAAAAAAAAAAACAAAAAAAAAAUGAAAAAAGAAUAAUAUAAAAAUUAAUAAUUAAAAAAGUUUUAGUACAUUUGUUAAUGUUGUGUGCUCUUAUUGUAAACCGACAAAAAUGAUUAUCAACUAUCAUUUAAACACUAUUAUUAGACACUACUAAAUGUUUUUACGUUCUACCAAAAUCUUCUAUGUAAUUUAUUGUUAAAUUUAAUACUAGAUUUUAACUGCUUAAGCAGCUACAGAAAAGAAGAGAAUUACUAAAGUCUCCGCACAGUGCGUCAUCGGUGUUCAAGAAAACGUUUCAUACUUAAAUCUAAUUAUAACUUAUUAUAAGCAUUCAGCUCAACGUUUGAUUUGAUUUAUUAAUACGACAUUUUAUUUGGGUUUUAUAGGAGGAAGAAAAGCAAAAACGCGAAGAACUUGAGGAAAUUUUGGCAGAAAAUAAUCGAAAAAUCGAAGAUGCGCAAAGAAAAUUGGCCGAAGAACGCUUAGCCAUUAUUGAGGAACAACGACUGAUGGACGAAGAACGUCAGCGUAUGCGC